rnacentral:rRNA from 1 species
GCAAGUCUAUCUCUUCUUCGGAAGGGAGGCAAAAGGGUGAGUAACACAUUGGUAACCUACCCCCAUCUCAGGCACAACUUCGGGAAACCGGAGCUAAUUCCUGAUAGUCUCUAUUUACUUCGGUACUUUAGAGUAAAGAUUUAUCGGAUGGGGAGGGGCCUAUGGUCUAUCAGCUUGUUGGUGAGGUAAAAGCUCACCAAGGCUAUGACGGAUACCGGGUGUGAGAGCAUGACC